CAAUUAUCCUAUAAUAUAAGCAGGACGUGCGGAGCAGAAACUUUUCUCUUACAGUCUCAUUCGACACAUUAGACAAAAGGAAAUCAAGCCACAGUUUGUUUCCUACUGCCUGCUUUUCUUUUACAACCUUCUUCAAACAGCAAUGGCAAGUGGGAGAGUGAAUAUCUCUGAGCUCAUCAGGCAUCUGCAACAAUUAAGUCUGGAUGUAGAGGAGAUGCAUGUGGAGGUAAACUGUUCUUUCAUUCUCUGUCGUAAAUUUUAAUACACUCAUUUAAAACAGGAAGAGAGGAGCCAUGUAUUAUUAAACUGUAGCUGUGUUAUAUUUAUUUUUAUUUUUAGAUAUUUCAGCUAUACUAAAAUGUCAUAUAUCAAUAAUAUAUAGUGUAUUAUUUCAUUAGUAUAUUGUUUAGAUAUGUAGAUGGAACAUUUUUUGUUAAAUAGGCUUAGUGUUUAGCCACAGCCACCUUACAUAUCAAGUUUAUACAUCCAGCUAUAUUAAUAUGCAUAUAUUUGGUAUGUAAAAUGGCUGUGGCUAAACACUAAGCCUAUUUAAUAUGCUAUAUUACACAUUUCUGUAUGUAGAUAGGUGUAAAGGCAUGUGGAAGUAAAUUGCAGUAAAUUUACUAUUUGUAAAUAAGUAAAUUUUAUUUGUUGUUUUCUAACUUGUGAGAAUUAAAUGCCUGAAGUUUUAACCAUCUCUCUCUCUCUCUCUCCCUCACUCUCUCUCUCUCUCCCUCUCUCUCUCUCACUCCCUCUCUCUCACACACAUUCUGAGUGUCCUCUCUCUUCCUCUUUUCCCUCUUCCCUUUUCUUUAAUCUCUUUUCCCUACAUCCUCCUCUCUCUUCUACACCCCCCCCCACCCCAUCCCACCCCACCCCCCACCCCACCCCCCCACGACAAAAUCCACUGAACUGUUCUGAGCAUGAUCUCUGUCACAAAUAUCUGAAAUUCAAUGACAAACAAGUCACUCUUGCAGCAUAUGUGGUUGACUGAAGUGGGCUCCCUUUAAUUUCCCCCUUUUCCAUCCACACCAGUACUCUACUCUCACUCUUUUACUCCUUCCUUGGAGAAUUCACAGAUAUGUGAAAGAGCCUAAAACAAGAUCAAGCCUUUGAUGGACCAGCACCAUGAUGAGAUAACACUCAACGAUGACUAAGUGGACUCUUUCCUUUAUCUUUCUUUACUCAUUUAGUUAAACUUAAGUUAAUGAAUAGUCAUGUAGUCAGUAGAUUUACAAUACGACUUUCUUUUUUUUUUAAAUCUAUGAAUAUUAUAUUAUAAUUUUAUACACAUUUUUAAAAAUAAAAAUUAUAAUAUAAUAUCAUAUUUUUUUAAAAAAAUUAUUAUUAUGUAGAUUGGUCAGAACACCCACAUUAUCUGUUUGUUUACUUAGGUGCCACAUGACCUUAGUGACUUUAGUGGGAUCAGUGAAUUCCUCCAGAAAUUAAGUCUGGGAGAAGAAGAGAUGGAUGUGGGUGUGGAUGUGGACAUAGAGCAGAUGGAUUUGGAUGAGGUUGUAGAGCAGAUGGAUGUGGAUGAUGUGGUAGAGAAGAUGGAUGUGGAUGUGAAUAUGAUGGAAGAGAUGAUCAGACGGAUGAUCAGAUGGAUGAUCAGACUGAUGAUCACAGCCAGGACCUGAUGAAUGAACAAUGUGGAGAUAUCUGAAACAGCAAAGCUCCAUUUUCAGAAGAUGUAUAUAUUUGGCACAUGUUGGACUUUUGUAUAUAUCUGAUUCCUUCUUUAGUCGUCUUUAGUUAUCUUUUUUACUCUGGUACACUUUUGGAGCUGUACUAUACACAAAUAUAACCUCUGUCUUGAAUGCCAAUUCCUGUAAAUAUGUAUAUUUUAUAUUUUUUUAUUAUUUAAUCAAUAUGUUAUUAAAUUAAACAAAGUUUAAGUCCUCCGAAGUGGGGGGGUGGAUGGUAUGGGUUU